rnacentral:misc_RNA from 1 species
GUCAAAAAAAUUGACAGUUCUCUUUUCAGUUGAAUACUAAACCCUACUCUCAAUUGACAAGCUGAAGUGAAGAAACAAUGGAGCUAAACCUUAACAAGAGGAAAAAGCAAAAGACUGACAACAGCUCAACCGGCAACUCUGAGGUUUUCGCUUCUUGCACUUUCGAAAGUCUCGGUCUUCACACUACCUUAUGCGAUCAGCUCAAAGAGAGGCUUGGAUUCGAGGCUCCAACUCUUGUUCAAGCUCAAGCAAUUCCUGUUAUACUCUCUGGUCGACAUGUGCUAGUGAAUGCGGCUACCGGAACGGGGAAAACUGUGGCUUAUUUGGCUCCAGUAAUUCAUCAGUUGCAGAAGUGUGAUCCCAGGAUUCAGCGGUCUGAUGGUACUUUUGCGUUGGUUCUUGUGCCAACACAUGAAUUAUGCAUGCAGGUAUAUGAGAUCUUGCAGAAGUUGUUGCAUCGUUUUCACUGGAUUGUUCCUGGAUAUAUUAUGGGAGGGGAAAGCAGGAACAAAGAGAAAGCUAGAUUGCGAAAAGGAAUUUUGUUAGCAAAUUAACCAUAGGGGAGAAGGAAUUUGCUGGUGUACAGACUAUGACUCAUGAAGGUCAAAGAUGUGAAGAAUGGGAAUGGUGGUUACUAGU